rnacentral:lncRNA from 1 species
AACAAUAUUCACUGAGCCCUUAAUUUGUGACAGGCACUCUGGGGUUCUGACUUUCUCACCCCAACCCCACCCCAGUCUAACAUCUUACUGUAGUCAAAAGCAGAAGCAGCGGUUUGGAACAAUAUGUCCAGUGUUCCCCGAAAAAUAAAUCAUUUUCAAAUCAGGAAAUAAAGGCUCAGGAAGCUGCUGGACCAAUGAAGAAGAACCAUGGAGAAGAGAGAAUUCUCCAUUUUUGUCUAUUUUAAAAGAAACACAUGUAGGGCCAGGGAUUUAGCUCAGUGGUUCCGCCACCUGCCUCACAAGCGCAAGGUCCUAAGUUCCAACCCCGGUACCAAAAACAAAAAACAAACAAACAUGUAAAGUGGGCAUGAUUUUCAACCUGCUCCCAAUGAGGGAAGGAGAAGAGAACUGUUUUAUUGGAAUGACCUUUAGGAGCACAGGAUGUGGAGCAUGUGAGUGAAUUUAAGUGCGUCAUUGAUUGGUGCUGCUCAGACGUGUGUGUGUGCGCGCGUGCGUGCGUGCGUGUGUGUUUGAUCCUCUGGGGAUGUUGUUAAAACGGCAUGGGGCUCAGGCUCACCUUGUUAGAGGCAGCACAACCUCCCAAACAGCACCUGUGCUGCGGGUCUACUGGCCACACUUGGAAGGUCAGAAGAGUGCUCCCGUGAUGAGAAAGUAACCGUAAUCUGAGAACUCUGCUAAUGCCUGAUCUGGGAUUUUGAUUAGCUUGCCCAGAAUUCAGCUUUUGAUCACUUUUUUUAAAGUGGGUUAGGAAAUCACUACUACUUUGCAUCUUAUCUGAAAAUCACUUCUCUGGUAACUUCACUAUCUUUUUAGAAAAGAGUCAAGAAUAUGGAAGCAGGAAAACAAAGGCUACCUAACCUCCCACAGAAUGUUUACACACUCCAGCCAUUUUCCUCUGCAAUUAUUCAGAGACAAGCAAGGAAGAGGUUUCCACUUUUCCCUGGCAGACCCAAGGCUCUGAAGCACGUCUUGCAUGUUAACUUUUGUGGGUCACUGAUUACUCAGCUUCCUAGAUGUGGAAUCACUGGGUCAAGAAUGCAGACACAUCCUGCUUUUGAUGAGCCCAGCCAAACUGUCCUGCAGAAAGAUGAAACAGCCACCGUCUCUUCCAGUGUGCACAGGGUCUGAAUCUCCACUGACUUUAAACAGGAACCGUGUUAAAAGCUGACCCUGGACAGCUGUCACCCGCCUCUAAGCUGUUAAAUUAGGUUUAAAUCUGAGAAGGCUCCAUGCUCAGGCCUUACGUGGCAUGCCACAGUGCGGGUU